UGCAGUCUAGGGGAAUUAACCUUCGGGUGAAGUUUCACUGGCGAACGGGUGAGUAACGCGUGAGGAACCUACCUCAUAGAUUGGGACAACACAGAGAAAUUUGUGCUAAUACCGGAUAAGCCCACGUGCUUAGAUGUGUGUGGGAAAAGGCGGGGUAACCUGCCGCUUUGAGAUGGCCUCGCGUGCCAUUAGCUAGUUGGUAGGGUAAUGGCCUACCAAGGCUACGAUGGCUAGGCGGCCUGAUAGGGUGGCCGCCCGCACUGGAACUGAGACACGGACCANACUCCUACGGGAGGCAGCAGUGGGGAAUUUUGCGCAAUGACCGUAAGGUUGACGCAGCAACGCCGCGUGUAUGAUGAAGGCUUUCGGGUCGUAAAGUACUUUCGGCAGGGAAGAAUGGUAAGGGGAGUAACUGCCCUUUAAUUGACGGUACCUGCAGA
rnacentral:rRNA from 1 species